rnacentral:lncRNA from 1 species
GGUCCUACCGUGAUCCCUGCCCCCUCGGGUGCAGUUCCACGCCAGUAAGUCGAAAAGGCUUCGCAUUGCGCAAUAUAAAACUGGCAUCGUAGUCUAGUGUAGAUUGUGUAAUAACAGCUUUGCCACAGCAAUUGUACAAGUGUCAAGUAAGAUUUAUGCUAAGAUGAAGACUGCUAUCCUUGGGAUAUUCUACAAAACACUCUUCAUCUCAAAGACAACCUGUGAAGAGCUGAGAGAGUAUCUGAAUAAUGCUGAAAAAGUCAUCAAGCAAACUGAGAAGUAUCUGGGACAACUCAGUGCAUUAGCUUUGCCUGCUGUUGAGUCUUGUUCAUUAAACAAUAUUCCUGGUUACCUGCCCAAGCUGCGUGGGUGUGUGGCAAGGAAGGUUACUGACAGUCUUGUACAAUGGAAGGAAAUCCGGCAUGCCAUGUGCGGGCUGGCCAGCGAGGUGGUGAAGCUCUGCAGCGAGUCUGAUGCAGCGCACCAUGUGGUGGGCGCGGCCCUACCGCCCGACCCGGACCCAUGCGCCCCGCGGCCCGGUGUCGUGUUGGAGACAAUACACGACUGUCGCUGCUCCUUCGCCCAGCUGUUGCACUUACUACAAGAAGAAGAAGAAGACGUUUCCCAGGCACCUGACGAUGAAAUUUCGAACAUUCGCGAAGACCUACUGGAAAUGAAAACUAUUCUGGAGGUUAUUGAGGAGCGUCUCCAGCUGUGUGCGUAUGUGACGUUGGCGUGGGAAGAGGAGACUUGUUCCGCCCGGUGAUGGCUGUAUCUACACCCCGAUCUUGGCGCAAGCGGCCGUGGCUGAGGCUACGUACUUGUCUGUCGUCUCCGACUUUUCUGGUCGAGAAGCUGAAGAGCGAUGGUACACCGGAUCAUGGCAUUCUAGUCAAUAUACUGUUUUUUGUUUUGUUCA